rnacentral:rRNA from 1 species
UGGGGAAUUCUCCGCAAUGGGCGAAAGCCUGACGGAGCAACGCCGCGUGAGGGAGGAAGGCCUUAGGAUUGUAAACCUCUUUUCUCUGGGAAGAAGAUCUGACGGUACCAGAGGAAUCAGCAUCGGCUAACUCCGUGCCAGCAGCCGCGGUAAUACGGAGGAUGCAAGCGUUAUCCGGAAUUAUUGGGCGUAAAGGGUCCGCAGGUGGUUUAUCAAGUCUGUUGUCAAAGCGUGGAGCUUAGCUCCAUAUUGGCAAUGGAAACUGAGUAACUAGAGUACAGUAGGGGUUGCGGGAAUUCCCAGUGUAGCGGUGAAAUGCGUAGAUAUUGGGAAGAACACCAGCGGCGAAAGCGCGCAACUGGGCUGAGACUGACACUGAGGGACGAAAGCUAGGGGAGCGAAAGGGAUUAGAUACCCCUGUAGUCCUAGCCGUAAACGAUGGACACUAGGUGUUGCGCGUAUCGACCCGUGCAGUGCCGUAGCUAACGCGUUAAGUGUCCCGCCUGGGGAGUACGCACGCAAGUGUG